rnacentral:misc_RNA from 1 species
UUAAGUUCAGCGCGUAUUCCUACCUGAUCCGAGGUCAACCUUGAGAAGUUUCCUAAUGAAAGGAGAGGACCGGGUCCCGGGCACCCUUGUCCGAUACGUGCUCAGUUGAAAGCUCAGUGUACCGGGGGAACCACAGGCCGCCGUCAUUGUCUUUAGGAGGGGUCGAUCGCUCGACCAAGCCGUCCAACACCAAGCACAGG